rnacentral:rRNA from 1 species
UACGAAGGGUGCAAGCGUUAAUCGGAAUUACUGGGCGUAAAGCGCGCGUAGGUGGUUCGUUAAGUUGGAUGUGAAAUCCCCGGGCUCAACCUGGGAACUGCAUUCAAAACUGACGAGCUAGAGUAUGGUAGAGGGUGGUGGAAUUUCCUGUGUAGCGGUGAAAUGCGUAGAUAUCGGAAGGAACAUCAGUGGCGAAAGCGACUUCCUGGACCAAUACUGACGCUCAUGUGCGAAAGCGUGGGGAGCAAACAGG